GCCGGGCAUGGUGGUGGGUGCCUGUAAUCCCAGCUACUUAGGAUGCUGAGGCAGGAGAAUUUCUUGAACCCAGGAGGUGGAGUGCAGUGAAUGGAGACCAUACCACUGCACUCCAGCCUGGGUGACAGAGGAAGACUCUACCUCAA
rnacentral:sRNA from 1 species